rnacentral:rRNA from 1 species
ACAUCCCGAAGUAAGAAGAGUUAGUUUGCCUGUGGUUGGCGUUUUAGAGCCAUCAUUAAGGUAGGCUAGAGGCGACAUGUCAUUCAAUUUUUAUAUAUCUGGUUUAACCUUAUACAAAUUUAAUUUAUAUGUAGAUUAAAAUAUCUAUUUAAAUAAAGCAGGGGGGUUAGCUCCCUGUAAUUAGGGUGGAGUAGAGCUGUUAAAGGGGGUUUAAUAACUUUCGUUUGGGGUCCGAUAAUGUUUUACCAUCUUGAGGAGGUUAGGCUAAAAAUUUUUUUAGAUAGGUGAUAAUAAAUAUAUUAGUAAUACUAAUUAAAGUUCAGUGGUUAGAUUUAUUAUAAGUUUAAUUUAGGGUAAAUUUUUAAAGAACUCGGCAAAACUGUUUUCGCAUGUUUACCAAAAACAUCUCUUGAAGUAAUUUUAAGUAUCCUCUGCCCUAUGAAUAGUUUAAAUGGCCGCAGUACAUUGACUGUGCAAAGGUAGCAUAAUCAUUUGUCUCUUAAUUGGAGGCUGGAAUGAAAGAGGCGACGAGAUUUAGGCUUUUGGCCUGUAGAUUAAAAUUGACAUAAAGGUCAAAAGGCCUUUAUUAACCAAAGGGACGAUAAGACCCUAUAAAACUUAACUAUGGAAUAAGUUAUUUAGGUGGGAUUUAAAGCUAUAGUUUGGCUGGGGCGGUCUAUAUAAAAACAAUAGAAAUAUUAAUAUUAUAAAUAGAAUUUGAGAGCUCUGAUAGGAAAUGAACAAGUUACUUUAGGGAUAACAGCAUAAUUCUCCCAGAGAGUUCUUAUUGGCGGGAGAGUUUAUGACCUCGAUGUUGAAUUGGGGUGUCUAAUGUAAGUAGAAAUAUAUUAAGAUAGUCUGUUCGACUAUUAAAUUCCCACAUGAUUUGAGUUCAGACCGGCGUGAGCCAGGUUGGUUUCUAUCUUUUGGAGGUUAAAGAUUUAAAUUGUACGAAAGGACCUUUAAAU